AGCGAACGCUGGCGGCAGGCCUAACACAUGCAAGUCGAACGAACCUUUCGGGGUUAGUGGCGGACGGGUGAGUAACACGUGGGAACGUGCCUUUAGGUUCGGAAUAACUCAGGGAAACUUGUGCUAAUACCGAAUGUGCCCUUCGGGGGAAAGAUUUAUCGCCUUUAGAGCGGCCCGCGUCUGAUUAGCUAGUUGGUUGAGGUAAUGGCUCACCAAGGCGACGAUCAGUAGCUGGUCUGAGAGUAUGAUCAGCCACAUUGGGACUGAGACACGGCCCAAACUCCUACGGGAGGCAGCAGUGGGGAAUCUUGCGCAAUGGGCGAAAGCCUGACGCAGCCAUGCCGCGUGAAUGAUGAAGGUCUUAGGAUUGUAAAAUUCUUUCACCGGGGACGAUAAUGACGGUACCCGGAGAAGAAGCCCCGGCUAACUUCGU
rnacentral:rRNA from 1 species